CUGAUCAAGAUGGAGAAGCAGGGUACGUGCAUUACUAACUCAACAUGGGAACCCAGGGUUAGGGUUCGUGAUACCGACAGAACCCUAACCAUGUAGCAUUGGGUUAGGGUUCAUGUUUGUCAAGAAUUACAUGUGUGUUAGUGAUUCAUGUACCCGUCUUCGCCAUCAUGACCAC
rnacentral:pre_miRNA from 1 species